AUUUAUUAUUAUUCUAACAUAAAAAUUAAAUUUGUGUUUUCAAACGAAAAAUUUUAAAUUAAAAAUUAUGAAUGAAAGGGGUUCCAAAUGAAGAAAUUCAGAUUAAGCACCGAUAAGACGUUGUCCUGCUGCGAAUACAAUUUAAAUACAACGACAGUUUUAUAUAAAUUUCAUUUUGACAAAACCCAUACUCUAAACAAACCAAAAAAUAUUGUGUUUGUUGCGGUUGUUGCCCAAACGUUCCCACCUUACUUAUUACAUCAUGGUUUAUGAAGUUUUCAUAGAAAUCGUUUUACCAUAUUAUUUUGAAAAAUUCCAGUUUUCUUUGAAAUGUUUAUAAAAAUUAAUCAAAAUUGAAUAAUGUUUAAAAAUAUAACAAAAUAUUUGCAUUUAAAUUGAAUUCAAUGAAAAAUAUAUUGAAAACUUGCAAGAAGAUUUGAUAAAAGAGCUGGUGGUGAUUUAAAAAAAACAAUGCAAUAUCCACAUUGCUAAAAGGAAACGUGUCAAAAUGCAAAUGUUUCAAGCAUUACCUUCUUCACAGACUAGACUAAAAUCCAGACUAUACUAUAAUUCAGCCUUUAUAACAGACUAUAUUCCUGAAACAGACAAGACUGUAGUCCAGACUACAGACUAAAAUUUAAUCCAGACUAUUGACUAUGCUAUAGUGCAGACUUAGACUAACAUAUAGUCCAAAUUAUAAACUAGACCAGCCUAGAGAAUAGACUAAAGUCAAUAGACUAUAGUCUACUUUUGUAUCAAUAUAAAUAUCUAAGACCAACUUUGAUGGAUUGGAAAGCUUUUAGAGUUACGAACUUCAAAUUUUGCAAGAACUACAUUGGCAUCUACUUAAAUAAUUGGGACAAAUAGAUGGACUACCGAAGCACAUUGGACAUAGCUAACUAUAAAUAAAAAUUAUUAAGCAAUAUAUAUAUGUCAUUAUUGUAAUAAAAAUAAUUCGAAAAAUGUCUUAUUUAGAUCAGUGUGUUGUAGUUAUCAGUUUGUCGCGAGAAUUAAUAAUAGAACAAAUCUAAUGAUA